rnacentral:rRNA from 1 species
UACGUAGGCAGCAAGCGUUGUUCGGAAUUACUGGGCGUAAAGAGUGUGUAGGCGGUGCUCUAAGUCUGUUGUGAAAUCUCCCGGCUUAACCGGGAGGGUGCGGCGGAAACUGGAGUGCUUGAGGGUGGGAGAGGUAAGCGGAAUUCCUGGUGUAGCGGUGAAAUGCGUAGAUAUCAGGAGGAACACCCGUGGCUAAGGCGGCUCUCUAGUACGGUACUGACGCUGAGACGCGAAAGCGUGGGGAGCGAACAGG